GACGAACGCUGGCGGCGUGCUUAACACAUGCAAGUCGAACGGAAAGGCCCUGCUUUUGUGGGGUGCUCGAGUGGCGAACGGGUGAGUAACACGUGAGUAACCUGCCCUUGACUUUGGGAUAACUUCAGGAAACUGGGGCUAAUACCGGAUAGGAGCUCCUGCUGCAUGGUGGGGGUUGGAAAGUUUCGGCGGUUGGGGAUGGACUCGCGGCUUAUCAGCUUGUUGGUGGGGUAGUGGCUUACCAAGGCUUUGACGGGUAGCCGGCCUGAGAGGGUGACCGGCCACAUUAGGACUGAAAUACGGCACAGACUCCUACGGGAGGCAACAGUGGGGAAUAUUGCACAAUGGGCGGAAGCCUGAUGCAGCAACGCCGCGUGCGGGAUGACGGCCUUCGGGUUGUAAACCGCUUUCGCCUGUGACGAAGCGUGAGUGGCGGUAAUGGGUAAAGAAGCACCGGCUAACUACGUG
rnacentral:rRNA from 1 species